rnacentral:lncRNA from 1 species
AACAAAGUUACAUACAUUUUGAAAUACCAAGGUUUUAUACAUUUUGUGAAUAACACAUCAAGUUGGAUUAUACGGGAAUAUAAACAACUGAAAGACUGGGUUUGUCAAAGCACUUAAACCUUGCAUAAAACUUCUUUUCAUAGUAAAAAUCUGCUGUACUUCAGUGGAAAGGAAACUAUUGAAAUUCUAAACAUCAAACAAAACACAAUGAACAGAACAAGAACCAAUCUUAAAAACAAAACAACAAAAGGCAAAUAAAACAACGUAACAAUCAAAAC